rnacentral:rRNA from 1 species
AGUCGAACGGAGCACCCUUGAUUGAGGUUUCGGCCAAAUGAUAGGAAUGCUUAGUGGCGGACUGGUGAGUAACGCGUGAGGAACCUGCCUUUCAGAGGGGGACAACAGUUGGAAACGACUGCUAAUACCGCAUGACACAUUUUGAUCGCAUGGUCGAAAUGCCAAAGAUUUAUCGCUGAAAGAUGGCCUCGCGUCUGAUUAGCUAGUUGGUGAGGUAACGGCCCACCAAGGCGACGAUCAGUAGCCGGACUGAGAGGUUGACCGGCCACAUUGGGACUGAGAUACGGCCCAGACUCCUACGGGAGGCAGCAGUGGGGAAUAUUGGGCAAUGGGCGCAAGCCUGACCCAGCAACGCCGCGUGAAGGAAGAAGGCUUUCGGGUUGUAAACUUCUUUUAAGUGGGAAGAGUAGAAGACGGUACCACUUGAAUAAGCCACGGCUAACUACGUGCCAGCAGCCGCGGUAAUACGUAGGUGGCAAGCGUUGUCCGGAUUUACUGGGUGUAAAGGGCGUGCAGCCGGGCAUGCAAGUCAGAUGUGAAAUCUCAGGGCUUAACCCUGAAACUGCAUUUGAAACUGUAUGUCUUGAGUGCCGGAGAGGUAAUCGGAAUUCCUUGUGUAGCGGUGAAAUGCGUAGAUAUAAGGAAGAACACCAGUGGCGAAGGCGGAUUACUGGACGGUAACUGACGGUGAGGCGCGAAAGCGUGGGGAGCGAACAGGAUUAGAUACCCUGGUAGUCCACGCUGUAAACGAUGGAUACUAGGUGUGCGGGGACUGACCCCCUGCGUGCCGCA